CAUGAAUGACUGCUAGAGUUGCUCCUCGGCUGAUGAACCUCUUCGGUGGGGAUUAGUGGCGAACGGGUGAGUAACACGUGGGCAAUCUGCCCUUCACUCUGGGACAAGCCCUGGAAACGGGGUCUAAUACCGGAUACCACUACCGCAGGCAUCUGUGGUGGUUGAAAGCUCCGGCGGUGAAGGAUGAGCCCGCGGCCUAUCAGCUUGUUGGUGAGGUAAUGGCUCACCAAGGCGACGACGGGUAGCCGGCCUGAGAGGGCGACCGGCCACACUGGGACUGAGACACGGCCCAGACUCCUACGGGAGGCAGCAGUGGGGAAUAUUGCACAAUGGGCGAAAGCCUGAUGCAGCGACGCCGCGUGAGGGAUGACGGCCUUCGGGUUGUAAACCUCUUUCAGCAGGGAAGAAGCGAAAGUGACGGUACCUGCAGAAGAAGCGCCGGCUAACUACGUGCCAGCAGCCGCGGUAAUACGUAGGGCGCAAGCGUUGUCCGGAAUUAUUGGGCGUAAAGAGCUCGUAGGCGGCUUGUCACGUCGGGUGUGAAAGCCCGGGGCUUAACCCCGGGUCUGCAUUCGAUACGGGCUAGCUAGAGUGUGGUAGGGGAGAUCGGAAUUCCUGGUGUAGCGGUGAAAUGCGCAGAUAUCAGGAGGAACACCGGUGGCGAAGGCGGAUCUCUGGGCCAUUACUGACGCUGAGGAGCGAAAGCGUGGGGAGCGAACAGGAUUAGAUACCCUGGUAGUCCACGCCGUAAACGGUGGGAACUAGGUGUUGGCGACAUUCCACGUCGUCGGUGCCGCAGCUAACGCAUUAAGUUCCCCGCCUGGGGAGUACGGCCGCAAGGCUAAACAGAAA
rnacentral:rRNA from 1 species